AUGAACGCUGGCUGCGUGCUUAACACAUGCAAGUCGAACGAUGAUGGGAGCUUGCUCCUGGAUUAGUGGCGAACGGGUGAGUAACACGUGAGUAACCUGCCCUUAACUCUGGGAUAAGCCUGGGAAACUGGGUCUAAUACCGGAUAUGACUCCUCAUCGCAUGGUGGGGGGUGGAAAGCUUUAUUGUGGUUUUGGAUGGACUCGCGGCCUAUCAGCUUGUUGGUGAGGUAAUGGCUUACCAAGGCGACGACGGGUAGCCGGCCUGAGAGGGUGACCGGCCACACUGGGACUGAGACACGGCCCAGACUCCUACGGGAGGCAGCAGUGGGGAAUAUUGCACAAUGGGCGCAAGCCUGAUGCAGCGACGCCGCGUGAGGGAUGACGGCCUUCGGGUUGUAAACCUCUUUCAGUAGGGAAGAAGCGAAAGUGACGGUACCUGCAGAAGAAGCGCCGGCUAACUACGUGCCAGCAGCCGCGGUAAUACGUAGGGCGCAAGCGUUAUCCGGAAUUAUUGGGCGUAAAGAGCUCGUAGGCGGUUUGUCGCGUCUGCCGUGAAAGUCCGGGGCUCAACUCCGGAUCUGCGGUGGGUACGGGCAGACUAGAGUGAUGUAGGGGAGACUGGAAUUC
rnacentral:rRNA from 1 species